UACGUAGGGUGCGAGCGUUGUCCGGAAUUACUGGGCGUAAAGAGCUCGUAGGUGGUUUGUCGCGUUGUUCGUGAAAACUCACAGCUUAACUGUGGGCGUGCGGGCGAUACGGGCAGACUGGAGUACUGCAGGGGAGACUGGAAUUCCUGGUGUAGCGGUGGAAUGCGCAGAUAUCAGGAGGAACACCGGUGGCGAAGGCGGGUCUCUGGGCUGGUACUGACGCUGAGGAGCGAAAGCGUGGGUAGCAAACAGG
rnacentral:rRNA from 1 species